UUUCCGUAGGUGAACCUGCGGAAGGAUCAUUCAUAAUAAGUGUUUUAUGGCACUUUUUUAAAUCCAUAUCCACCUUGUGUGCAGUGUCAGGGUUGAUUUUUCUCUCGAGAGGAUCAACCCCAAACAUCAACUAUAUCUCAACUCUUUGUCUGAAAAAUAUUAUGAAUAAAACAAUUCAAAAUACAACUUUCAACAACGGAUCUCUUGGCUCUC
rnacentral:misc_RNA from 1 species